rnacentral:rRNA from 1 species
UACAGAGGGCUCAAGCGUUGUUCGGAUUCAUUGGGCGUAAAGGGCGUGUAGGUGGCGCCGUAAGUCGGGCGUGAAAUUUCGGAGCUUAACUCCGAGACUGCAUUCGAUACUGCGGUGCUUGAGGACUGGAGAGGAGACUGGAAUUCUCGGUGUAGCAGUGAAAUGCAUAGAUAUCGAGAGGAACACCAAUGGCGAAGGCGAGUCUCUGGACGACUCCUGACACUGAGGCACGAAAGCUAGGGGAGCAAACAGG